GGAGGCAGCAGUGGGGAAUAUUGCACAAUGGGCGCAAGCCUGAUGCAGCGACGCCGCGUGAGGGAUGACGGCCUUCGGGUUGUAAACCUCUUUCGCCAGGGACGAAGCGCAAGUGACGGUACCUGGAGAAGAAGGACCGGCCAACUACGUGCCAGCAGCCGCGGUAAUACGUAGGGUCCGAGCGUUGUCCGGAAUUACUGGGCGUAAAGAGCUCGUAGGUGGUUUGUCGCGUUGUUCGUGAAAACUCACAGCUUAACUGUGGGCGUGCGGGCGAUACGGGCAGACUUGAGUACUGCAGGGGAGACUGGAAUUCCUGGUGUAGCGGUGGAAUGCGCAGAUAUCAGGAGGAACACCGGUGGCGAAGGCGGGUCUCUGGGCAGUAACUGACGCUGAGGAGCGAAAGCGUGGGGAGCGAACAGGAUUAGAUACCCUGGUAGUCCACGCCGUAAACGGUGGGUACUAGGUGUGGGUUUCCUUCCUUGGGAUCCGUGCCGUAGCUAACGCAUUAAGUACCCCGCCUGGGGAGUACGGCCGCAAGGCUAAAACUCAAAGAAAUUGACGGGGGCCCGCACAAGCGGCGGAGCAUGUGGAUUAAUUCGAUGCAACGCGAAGAACCUUACCUGGGUUUGACAUGCACAGGACGCCGGCAGAGAUGUCGGUUCCCUUGUGGCCUGUGUGCAGGUGGUGCAUGGCUGUCGUCAGCUCGUGUCGUGAGAUGUUGGGUUAAGUCCCGCAACGAGCGCAACCCUUGUCUCAUGUUGCCAGCACGUUAUGGUGGGGACUCGUGAGAGACUGCCGGGGUCAACUCGGAGGAAGGUGGGGAUGACGUCAAGUCAUCAUGCCCCUUAUGUCCAGGGCUUCACACAUGCUACAAUGGCCGGUACAAAGGGCUGCGAUGCCGUGAGGUGGAGCGAAUCCUUUCAAAGCCGGUCUCAGUUCGGAUCGGGGUCUGCAACUCGACCCCGUGAAGUCGGAGUCGCUAGUAAUCGCAGAUCAGCAACGCUGCGGU
rnacentral:rRNA from 1 species